rnacentral:rRNA from 1 species
GACGAACGCUGGCGGCGUGCUUAACACAUGCAAGUCGAACGGAAAGGCCCUGCUUUUGUGGGGUGCUCGAGUGGCGAACGGGUGAGUAACACGUGAGUAACCUGCCCUUGACUUUGGGAUAACUUCAGGAAACUGGGGCUAAUACCGGAUAGGAGCUCCUGCUGCAUGGUGGGGGUUGGAAAGUUUCGGCGGUUGGGGAUGGACUCGCGGCUUAUCAGCUUGUUGGUGGGGUAGUGGCUUACCAAGGCUUUGACGGGUAGCCGGCCUGAGAGGGUGACCGGCCACAAUGGUACUGAGAUACGGCCCAGACUCGUACGGGAGGCAGCAGUGGGGAAUAUUGCGCAAUGGGCGGAAGCCUGAUGCAGCAACGCCGCGUGCGGGAUGACGGCCUUCUGGUGGUAAACCGCUUUCGCCUGUGACGAAGCGUGAGUGACGGUAAUGGGUAAAGAAGCACCGGCUAACUACGUG